rnacentral:pre_miRNA from 1 species
CUGUGUUAAAUUUGUAUGGAGUUGGAAAGUUUGCUGCUAGGGGCGCUGUUCCAACUCCAUACAAAUUUGAGUUA